AGCUUUGAAUAAAAAUGUUUUAUUGUUGUUGUUUUUUCCCCCCAACUUACUUAAUGUCUUAAUAAACUUCCCUUUACCUGGAUAAAGAGGUUAAGAAACUGAAUUUCGCCUUAAAAAUAAUAACUGAACAAUCUCUGAGGCAUCUAUCACCCCUUAAAAAUGUGCAAAGUGGUUUAGUCCACACCAGCGGCCAGGGGCUGCACGGCCGCAUGUACAGCUAUGACACAUCGCAGAUGCCGACAGCCAGAGCUGGAGGCAGGAGAGUCAGUCGUGUAUUUUCCCAAGAAAGGGAAAUCUGGCUUCCAGAAAAGAAAAGAAAAGAAAAGAAGGAGAAGGAGGAAAAGUUAAUUGAACAGAAGCAAGUAGAAGGAAGGUGAGCAGCAGCAGCAGAACACAGUUUUAGCUGAUAUUAGCUAGCUCUCAGAAGCUGCAUUCAUGUUAGGUGUUCAGUGUUAAACGCCUUUAGUUUCACCAUCAAGAUCAAAUAUAAAUUUAGUGUUAUCAGUGAUAACACUAAUUAAUAUAUAUAUUAAUCAGAAUUAUUAUCGCGGGCGGCCGCCGCCAAUUACUUUGCGGACCUCGCAGUAAAAACAGGUUCACUCUGUGUGGAUAUUUCAGCUCCUUCCCAGUCAUGGACCAGGACAAACUUGGUAUCGAUGGAUUCGUGGUAAUCUCAGGAACGUGAAGCUGCCACUGUUUUUCGUAUAGCAUGAUGACACUGGUGUUAGAGGAUUGUUAUUGACUUGGUUAGAUAUUUUAAGCCUAUUUUAAAUUUCUUUAUAUUUGAUCUUGAAAACGGGCAAACUUAUAAUUUGGCUGAUAAUGCAGGGAUUAUAAAAUUUAGAGUACAUUACAUUCACAGAGAGAACCUGGUUUAUUUCAUGUCAUAUGUAUUUAAUAUAUCAAUACAUAUCAGCAAAGCUUAAUAUCAUGAACCAUGACAGACAUGACUGAAGAGCAGAUGAAGAUAUCAUGCCAGGCACUGAUGAGAAAAUAUUACAAGGAUCUCACAGCUGAAUUUGAGAAUGAGAUGCUACACCUGACAACAAUAUAUGGUGCCACAUUUCCACACAUUCGGUCUCCUCUCUAGCUGCUUAAUGCCAUCUACAGGAUGCAAUUACAGAGCAUUUUUGGAGAAGUUUGUAUUGGACUGAGGAUAUUUUGCACACUACCUGUGACUGUUGCUGGGGUGAACGGGCUUUUAGCAAACUGAAACUGGUGAAAAAUUAUUUGAGAUCAACAAUGUCCCAGGAUAGACUGAACAGCCUAGCUCUUCUUUCUAUUGAAAGCCAAUUAGCCAAAGGAUUGGACUUUAAAGAUCUCAUAAGUGAUUUUGCUAACAUGAAGACCUGUCAGUGAGCAUUUACUGGAAAAUAAAUUCCAGGAUUUUUGUUUGAACACAUUGUUGGCAAAUUAAAAUAAUUAUAUGUGAAGUCUGGGCAUUUCACUUUUAUUAUGCUGGCAUUUGUAUUUGCUCAAUAUAGAGGUUAAACUAAGAUCAUAUUUAUUAUCUUGUCUUAUAGCAUGACAAAAAAUGUGUAAGAGAGAUAUUAAGUGAGCAUGGGGGCCCACCUAGAAGACUUGUACAUAGGACCCAGAAUUUGGUGCUACGCCCCUGAUCAUGAGUAUAAACAAAGUGAAGGUGUGAACCCAAACAAAGUCAUCUUUUUGAAACAUUUAGGGAGGGAACGCCUGGAUGAAAAGGUGAGUUUUUAGAUGAUUUUUAAAGACCUCUACAGUGUUAGAGUGACGGAGAUUUGAAGGUAGACUGUUCCAAAGUCUGGGUGCAAUAGUCUGAAAGGCCCUGUCCCCUUUGGUUUUCAGUCUGGUUCGAGGAUCAGCCAGGAGGUUUUCAGAUGUGGAUCUAAGGUUCCGAGAGGUGGUGUGUGGGGAUAAAAGCUCAGAUAGGUAGCUUGGAGCCUGGUUGUUAAGAGCUCUAUAGGUCAGGACUAAAACUUUAAACUGUAUUCUAUUUUCUACCGGGAGCCAGUGGAGGGACUGUAAAACUGGAGUGAUGUGAGCUCGUCUGCUGGAUUUGGUUAGGAGUCUGGCUGCUGCAUUUUGGAUGGCUUGAAGGCGUGAGAGGGAGGUUUUGCUGAGACCAGUAAAAAGAGCGUUACAGUAGUCUAAGCGUGAUGACACAAAGGCAUGGAUGAUUUUUUCCAGAUCUGCAGUAGAAACCAGUUUACGGACUUUUGAAAUGUUUCUCAGUUGAAAGAAACAAGAGCGGGAGAUGGUUUUGACGUGUGAGUCUAAACUUAAAGCUGGAUCAAAAAUAACUCCUAGGUUUCUAAUGUUGGCCUUGGCUGAUGGGCAAAAAGAGGCAAUUUCCUGCUCGAUUUUUGGCUGAAGUUCCGGGGGUGCAGCGAUCAGGGUCUCUGUCUUGUUAGCACUUAGGACAAGAAAGUUGCUGGACAGCCAGUUACUGAUCUGGGUCAGGCGGAGUACAAGGGUGGCCAGCCUGUCCAACUGGUGUGGCAUAAAGGACAUAUAGAGCUGAAUAUCGUCAGCGUAGAUGUUGUAGCGUUAUGGAUUUAUGCUCUUUUAUGAAAGAGAAACCAGGCUACGUAUUAAUUCGGAAUAUUAAUUUUAAUAAAUCAAUAACCAAAUUUUAUAUUGUUCAGAAGACUCAAAGGUUGUUUUCAUCGAUAAACUGACGAUAAUAUCUGAGUGUCUGUGUUUCAGUUCAAUGAGGAAACCAGUUUCACAAUUAAAAGUUUUAAUUCAUCAAAUUAAACUAAUGAUUUUGAAAUUGACAAACAGGAAAUACAAUCAACAUUGGUAACUUUGUGGGACAAUCUUUUUAACAGUUGAUAUGCUGUUCUGGCUCAAAUAGACCUUCUGAUGAAUUUAUGAAGAUUGAGAAUGUUGUGAGUUGUGCUGGUGAUAUGAGAUGAGAUGGAUGCGUGUGUGCAUCUGAUUUUGCUUCAGGAAGAAACAGGUGUCUGAGUGAAAAGUGAUGGUUUGAAUAGACUUAGGUUUAGUGGAAAAGAUGCAUCAAAACGCUAUCUGUCGUGUUUUGCCUCACCGAAAAUCGGACCCUCUGUUGGACCCGGGACGUCACCUUAGGAUGUUUCAUCCAGGGCACCUUGGCUGGCAAAGAAGACAAAGAUGCGCUGCGAACCGGUCCAGAGUUGUCCUCGGUACACGUUGAUGGUAAAGCGUUUUGUCGACGCGCUUUCUUAAAGAGCAAGUAACGUCUAAAUUAACUUUUUUUUGCUGAUGAACUGUAUAAAUGAGUGUCUAAUAGUGUUUUAAAUGUGUGCAUUCUUUAUUUUAGCAUUUUGGUGCAUUUUCUUUAAAAAUUAAAAAUUCUGUCUAAAAACCACAGUAAUGCGCCACCUUCAGCUGAAAACAUAGAAUUUGAGUCAUUUUGAAUAAAUUUUAGCCAAUGGCUAAAGAGUAAAGUACUACGUAAACCAGUAGAGUACUACGUAGCAGCUCCGUGCCAAAGUUAUAAAAGCAACGAGCGUCUCGGCCACGCCCUGUGGCGAGUGGGAGUUGGAUUUGCAAGCGAGUGUAGGAGGUCAGCGGUAGUUCAGCAUUAGCGUAUAGCAUUAGCAUAUCCUAGUCUUUAGCAUAUCUUUUAGUGUUAUAAAUACUUAUUUAGUGUUAGCUUGGCUGUUGUAUAUUAUAGUUUAGUUAGUGUUUGGCUGUUAGUGUAAUUGGGAAAGUAGUUCGGGUUUAGUGUUCCAUAUCGUCUUAGUAUUGGUGAGAUGGUGUAAUGUAGUAUGGUUGCGGUGACUCUGUGGGCAUUUUACCCGCGAUUCUGCACGUCUCCGUUUGAAGAGGGAGGCUGUGCCCACCGUGGCUCUUCCGCGAUUUAGAUGCAGCCCACCGACUCUGCUCCCCCACCACGGCGGGCUCCAGUCUGAGGCUAAAUCUACCCAAGACACUGGCUGUCAGACUGAUUUAGCUGCAAGAAUGCACUUGUCCAGGCUGAUGUGAAACCUUCCCUGUAGCAAAGCCAGCCAGAAUGGAGUUCACAGCCGCAGUGUGUCUGGUGACCCACGGGGACCAUGAUGAAAAUUCAUCUUCCAGAAGGUCCCAGAGCGUCCAGACCCCCUGAAAAGACCAAGGUGUGAGGUGUCUGCUGUUGAUUCCAGCUUCCACCUCAGUGACAGUGCAAGCUCAGUGAACUGUUCAAGCCUGGCUGAUCACCUGAUAACUCCUGUCAUCUGGUUAUGACAGCAUGAGGAUGUCCUCACACACCUGUAACCUAUCAGCUCAUCUGGCAGAAUAGAGAGAGAAGAGACAACACCACAUCUCCUGUUCCUGGAAAGCCUUCAGCCUUCCUUCGAUGACUGAGAACCUCCAUCAGCUCUGUCUCCUGUCUGCCUACAAUUAUUAUAAUAAAUAUUGUGUUUGACAA